AGAGUUUGAUCCUGGCUCAGAAUGAACGCUUGCGCCAUGCUUAACACAUGCAAGUCGAACGGAUAUACUUAAAGUAGGUAUUACCUCGGUAAUCCGAAUUUAGGUAUGUUAGUGGCGAACGGGUGAGUAACGCGUAAGUUACCUACCCCUGGGAGAGGGAUACUAACUGGAAACGGUUUCUAAUACCUCAUACGCUGAGAAGUAAAAGUAACAACGCCUAGGGACGGGCUUGCGUCUGAUUAUUUUCGCUAGUUGGCUGAGGUAAAAGCUCAGCCAAGGUGAUGAUCAGUAGCUGGUCUGAGAGGAUGACCGGCCACACUGGGACUGAGAAACGGCCCAGACUCCUACGGGAGGCAGCAGUGAGGAAUCUUCCGCAAUGGGCGAAAGCCUGACGGAGCAAUGACGCGUGAGGGAUGACCGCCUGUGGGUGUUAAACCUCUUUUCCCGGAGAAGAAGCUAGUACAAAGCUAGUUGACGGUAUCCGGGGAAUAAGCAUCGGCAAACUCUGUGCCAGCAGCCGCGGUAAUACAGGGGAUGCUAGUGUUAUUCGGAAUUAUUGGGCGUAAAGGGCCCGUAGGUGGUUUUUCAAGUCUGCUGUGAAAGGACUGGGCUUAACCCAGUGAAAGCGGUGGAAACUGAAGAACUUGAGUGAGGUAGGGGCAGAGGGAAUUCCCUAAGGAGCGGUGAAAUGCAUAGAUAUAGGGAGGAACACCAAUAGCGAAGGCACUCUGCUAGGCCGAAGCUGACACUAAGGGGCGAAACCUAGGGUAGUAAAUGGGAUUAGAGACCCCAGUAGUCCUAGGAGUAAACUAUGGACACCAGGUAUUUACCUAGCAUAUAAAAAUGUGCCAAAGGGGAGUACCGAAGUUAACGCAUUGAGUGUCCCGCCUGGGGAGUACGUUCAACUGAAUAAAACUCAAAGGAAUUGACGGGGGCCUGCACAAGCGGUGGAUCAUGUGGUUUAAUUCGAUGCAAAGCGAAGAACCUUACCAGGGCUUGACAUGCCACUUCUACAGCUGAAAGGUUGUAUUUUAUUGUAUGAAUCUCUGAUUUACACAAUUAGGUGGACACAGGUGGUGCAUGGCUGUCGUCAGCUCGUGUCGUGAGAUGUCGGGUUAAGUCCUAGAACGAGCGCAACCCUUGUCUUUAGUUGUAUUGUCUAAAGAGACUGCCGGUGAUAAACCGGAGGAAGGUGAGGACGACGUCAAGUCAUCAUGCCCCUUAUGUCCUGGGCUACACACGUGAUACAAUGGCCGGGACAAAAAGUAAUAGCUCAAAACCCGGUCUUAGUUCGGAUUGUAAGCUGCAAUUCGCUUACAUGAAGGUGGAAUCGCUAGUAAUCGCCGGUCAGCCACACGGCGGUGAAUAUGUUCCCAGGCCUUGUACACACCGCCCGUCACACCAUGGAAGCUGGCUCAGCCCAAAGACGUUACCACAAACCUUCGGGAUGGGGACGUCAAAUGCGGGGCUAGUAACUAGGGUGAAGUCGUAACAAGGUAGCC
rnacentral:rRNA from 1 species